rnacentral:lncRNA from 1 species
GAGACUAAUGGUGAUCUGAAUUUUUGGCUUUUGAGCUGAGGGUAGUCACUAGAAGUGGGCUUUAGGUAGGGCUGAGUGUGUUUUAUGUGUGGGUAGAAGAAUAGAAUGGUUUGAUGACUGAUGACCAAAAAAAACGCAGGGAAAAUGCUAUGCUAAACUCACCUUAUCAUUUUUGAUGACUCUAUGACCCUCCAGCUUUCUCUUCUCCUUUGGCAGAAACUUUGGAGAAUGUUCAUUGGGAUAGAAGAGCCACAGUAUCCCUGGGGCACUUCAGGGGAGAAUAUUUCCAUGAAGAGUUGCCUGAUUCACAGUGGAAUUUAUGAAAUCUCGGAAAGGAUACGUACACCCGUAAUUCUCAGAUUCUAAAGCCUACUCUCUUUCCAUGUUAAUAACAUACAGCACAUCUCAGCUGCUGCCACUCGGAAGUCACGCCAGGCUGGCACGGUGUAAGUCAUUGGAGCAUAAUUUGAAUGCAGCCGAUGUGAUCAGCCAGGGGGAUCUGUGAGUGACCUAUAUUUAA